rnacentral:rRNA from 1 species
AGCCUCUCAUGCGCAGUAGUUUGCACAACUCGCACCGGGAGCGCGGCGCGUCCACGUCCGUAAAACACCCAACUUCUGAAAUGU